CCCUCCCCUGUUCUUGCUCUCGCUCUCGCUGUUAUUGGUUGUUGCUGCCGCCUUGCGCCUGAUGCCGCCGUCGACGCCGACGCUGUGUAUGGGUGUUCGUAAUUUGUCGGGUACCAAAGUUUUCUUCAAUGUUUCAGGUUGAAGUCGUGGGUUAAUCUUUUUCGAGUUGAAGCUGAUACGAGACGGUGUAGUAUCAUAGUUGUUACCAAAGUGAGGACGUUUAACUUGUAAUAAUUAGUUAUCAAACUUUUGUUUUAAUUGUUUAUAGUUAAGAAUCGUUAGUGCU